rnacentral:rRNA from 1 species
UACGGAGGAUGCAAGCGUUAUCCGGAUUUAUUGGGUUUAAAGGGUGCGUAGGCGGCUUUUUAAGUCAGCGGUGAAAUUUUGCAGCUUAACUGUAACAGUGCCGUUGAUACUGCUGGGCUAGAGAUUGGUUGCUGUGGGCGGAAUGUGUGGUGUAGCGGUGAAAUGCUUAGAGAUCACACAGAACAACGAUUGCGAAGGCAGCUCACAAAGCCACAUCUGACGCUGAGGCACGAAAGCGUGGGGAGCAAACA